CGAACACUUCGGUGUUAGUGGCGCACGGGUGCGUAACGCGUGGGAAUCUACCCUUGGGUUCGGAAUAACAGUUAGAAAUGACUGCUAAUACCGGAUGAUGACGUAAGUCCAAAGAUUUAUCGCCCAAGGAUGAGCCCGCGUAAGAUUAGCUAGUUGGUAAGGUAAAGGCUUACCAAGGCUACGAUCUUUAGCUGGUCUGAGAGGAUGAUCAGCCACACUGGGACUGAGACACGGCCCAG
rnacentral:rRNA from 1 species